AAGUCCAUGGGCGGGUCUGGGGCCUGCUGUCCUGGCUGCUCUUACAGUUUGAUUUUUCCCUCCAGAGAACACAGACAGUUGAGCUCCCAUGGAAGAGGAGGAAAGUAGUAGAAAGUGUGAAGGACAAUUAGACAAACAGCUUGACACGUUCCAGAAUGAAGAUAAAGGCAGCAGCGAGGAAUAAAACUGCAUUCACUGAAGUGAUCUGCACUUUCCACCAGAUGCUGGGCCCUAGAAAGGACAUCAGGCUGCCUUUGAGAUGCUAGGGUUCCACUCAAGAUUUUGGAAAAUAAAUCCAAGAAACCCUGCUACUAACUUCUUAAGCAUAUAUGGAACAAGAUGUCUGCCUCCUUGCUAGAAUGGAAGGAAUGGAAGAAGGAAAUGGAUCCUAUGCAGUACUGUGCCAGCUAUGCAGAUGCAUGGUCUACUUCUCCCUCUUGGACCCCUGACCUUCCAUGUGAACAAGCCUGAGCUAGAUUGCUGGAGGAUAAGAGAUAUGUGGAGAUGGCUACCCUGUGUGCAGGUGAACUCAGACACAUGGAGAUAAGAAGAACCACACAGUUGACUGAUCAAUUUGUGAUCAUUAGUGAAGGCUUAUUGUUUUAAACCAUUGUGUUUUGGGGAUAGUUUGUUACUCACCAAGAAACACCUACAAUUUGCUUUGCAUAACUUUGCAAUGUAUGGCAGACAUUUAUAAGAGUAAAAACAUUAGGAACUAUCUCAUUUUUUGAUGACCAUUUAGUAUUAGCAAUGUUGAUAAAUUAUAAUUUUUAAAUGU